rnacentral:rRNA from 1 species
GAUGAACGCUGGCGGCGUGCUUAACACAUGCAAGUCGAACGGGAGAUCGAUUUUAAUGAGGCUUCGGCGGAUUUUGAUCUGAUCUUAGUGGCGGACGGGUGAGUAACGCGUGGGUAACCUGCCUUAGUACAGGGGGAUAAACAGCCGGAAACGGCUGCUAAUACCGCGAUAAGCGCACGAGAGGCGCAUGCUUCAGUGUGAAAACUCCGGUGGUAUAAGAUGGACCCG